rnacentral:rRNA from 1 species
UACAGAGGUCUCAAGCGUUGUUCGGAUUCACUGGGCGUAAAGGGUGCGUUAGGUGGUUGGGUAAGUCUUGAUGUGAAAUCUCCGGGCUCAACCCGGAAAUGGCAUUGGAUACUAUUCGGCUAGAGGUUUGGAGGGGGGACUGGAAUUCUCGGUGUAGCAGUGAAAUGCGUAGAUAUCGAGAGGAACACCAGUGGCGAAGGCGAGUCCCUGGACAACACCUGACACUGAGGCACGAAAGACUAGGGGAGCAAACAGG